AUGAGUUAAGUAUACACCCCUUUACAAGUAUCAACUGGAGGGCAAGUCUGGUGCCAGCAGCCGCGGUAAUUCCAGCUCCAAUAGCGUAUAUUAAAGUUGUUGCAGUUAAAAAGCUCGUAGUUGGAUUUCUGUUAAUAAUUUAUAUAAUAUUUUAACGAUAUUAUGUAAUAUUAACAUAAUUCAUAUUACUAUAUUAUUUUAGUAUAUGAAAUUUUACUUUGAGAAAAUUAGAGUGCUUAAAGCAGGCAUUUGCCUUGAAUACUCCAGCAUGGAAUAAUAUAAAAGAUUUUUAUCUUUUUUAUUGGUUCUAAGAUAAAAAUAAUGAUUAAUAGGGACAGUUGGGGGCAUUUGUAUUUAACAGUCAGAGGUGAAAUUCUUAGAUUUGUUAAAGACAAACUAGUGCGAAAGCAUUUGCCAAGGAUGUUUUCAUUAAUCAAGAACGAAAGUUAGGGGAUCGAAGACGAUCAGAUACCGUCGUAGU
rnacentral:rRNA from 1 species